rnacentral:rRNA from 1 species
GACGAACGCUGGCGGCGUGCCUAAUACAUGCAAGUAGAACGCAGUUGCGAACGGGUGAGUAACGCGUAGGUAACCUGCCUCAUAGCGGGGGAUAACUAUUGGAAACGAUAGCUAAUACCGCAUACUGUGAGAUGGACCUGCGUUGUAUUAGCUAGUUGGUGAGGUAAAGGCUCACCAAGGCGACGAUACAUAGCCGACCUGAGAGGGUGUGCGGCCACACUGGGAAGUAUACACGGUCCAGCCUCCUACGGUAGGCAGCAGUGGGGAAUAUUGCACAAUGGGCGCAAGCCUGAUGCAUCCAUGCCGCGUGUAUGAAGAAGGCCGUCGGGUUGUAAAGUACUUUCAGCGGGGAGGCGUUACCCGCAGAAGAAGCACCGGCUAACUCCGUGCCAGCAGCCGCGGUAAUAC